GAUGAACGCUGGCGGCAUGCCUAAUACAUGCAAGUCGAACGAGAGGAAGGAAAGCUUGCUUUCCUGAAUCUAGUGGCGAACGGGUGAGUAACACGUAGGUAACCUGCCCAUGUGCCCGGGAUAACUUCUGGAAACGGAUGCUAAAACCGGAUAGGUAGCAGACAAGCAUUUGACUGCUAUUAAAGUGGCCUUGGCCAUGAACAUGGAUGGACCUGCGGUGCAUUAGCUGGUUGGUGAGGUAACGGCCCACCAAGGCGACGAUGCAUAGCCGGCCUGAGAGGGCGGACGGCCACAUUGGGACUGAGACACGGCCCAAACUCCUACGGGAGGCAGCAGUAGGGAAUUUUCGUCAAUGGGGGGAACCCUGAACGAGCAAUGCCGCGUGAGCGAGGAAGGUCUUCAGAUCGUAAAGCUCUGUUGUAAGAGAAAAACGGCACUCAUAGGGAAUGAUGAGUGAGUGAUGGUAUCUUACCAGAAAGUCACGGCUAACUACGUGCCAGCAGCCGCUGUAA
rnacentral:rRNA from 1 species